rfam:Hypholoma sublateritium FD-334 SS-4 unplaced genomic scaffold scaffold_6, whole genome shotgun sequence.
GUCACUUUGCCGGAGUGGUUAACGGGAUCGCCUGCUACCUUGUAGUAGAAUAGCGGUUGGUCUUUGACCGCGAGUGUUCGAAUCGCUCAGGUGACG